rnacentral:lncRNA from 1 species
UUGGAUUUAGUCAAUAUCUCUAAUGGUAACGAAUACCCCACUACAGAAAAGUGGCGACUCUGCUGGGGAUAUACAUUUGCCUAGUAGGUUUUUCCUACUUUUCAUAUUUGUUGUAUUGUAUGGUAUAUUGCUUUGUGACAUAUUUUUGUGCAAUUUGGGAUUACUGUAUUGUAUGUAAUGAUUGAAUUGUUUGAAUAUUAAUUCCUUGUAUGCUUGGUGAUCUUCGU